rnacentral:lncRNA from 1 species
AAGUAGACAAGAGAAAUGGGCGAGGCAGGCAAAGGAUUCAAACGAGAUGACAGGAGUUUCCAUUUAUCUUUGAACAGAAUGAAAGAAGCCCCUUCCAAGAAGGAGGCAGAAGAGAAAAGCGAGGAAAUCGCCCUUCAGCAGCUGGGAACUUCUCCUCUCAAAGAAACCAUCUAGGCUGCCCGGAGCCUGGCGCGGGCUGGCAACAGCUCACCCCUGUCCAGACCCGCCCUGGGGCUUCUCUUGGGGGCACCAGGGGUUGUGGUGCCGACUCCAGGCAAGGUCUACCAGAGGUCAGCAUGGCCCUGGCACACAGCCACCCAGUAAUUGGCUUUACAUAUAUACAGGGACUCCACUUCCCAAGGACCAAAAGAGAGAUUGUUCUCUGUAGCAAUAAAAGACCUAUUUUCCUUUGCCAUUCCCAAAUCUGCCCCUUCUGUGU